ACAAUACCGGAUAGGGCAUCGAUUGCUGGAAUGCACGAUGUCCAAAAGUUGAGGCGCCCAAGGAUAGGUCUGCGGCCGAUUAGGUCGUUGUUGAUGUAAUGGAUCAACAAGCCUGCAAUCGGUACGGGUUGUGAGAGCAAGAGCCCGGAGAUGGGUUCUGAGAAAAGAACCCAGGUCCUACGGGACGCAUCAGGCGCGAAAACUUUACAAUGUGCGAAAGCACGAUAAGGGAACUCUGAGUGCCUCCUAUGGAGGCUGUUCGGGUGUCUAAAAAGCACUUGAAGUAAGGGCUGGGUAAGACCGGUGCCAGCCGCCGCGGUAACACCGGCAGCCCAAGUGGUAGCCAUGCUUAUUGGGUCUAAAGCGUCCGUAGCCGGCCAGGUAAGUUCUUUGGGAAAUUUAACCGCUCAACGGUUAAGCUUUCAGGGAAUACUGCUUGGCUUGGGACCGGGAGAGGUCAGAGGUACUUCAAGGGUAGGGGUGAAAUCCGUUAAUCCUUGAGGGACCACCAGUAGCGAAGGCGUCUGACCAGACCGGGUCCGACGGUGAGGGACGAAGGCUAGGGUCGCGAACCGGAUUAGAUACCCGGGUAGUCCUAGCUGUAAACGAUGCGGGCCAGGUGUUGGCAUUACUGCGAGUGAUGUCAGUGCCCAAGGGAAGCCGUUAAGCCCGCCUUCUGGGGAGUACGGUCGCAAGGCUGAAACUUAAAGGAAAUU
rnacentral:rRNA from 1 species